rnacentral:rRNA from 1 species
AGAACGAACGCUGGCGGCAUGCCUAAUACAUGCAAGUCGAACGAACUCUUCGGAGUUAGUGGCGCACGGGUGCGUAACGCGUGGGAAUCUGCCCCUUGGUUCGGAAUAACAGUUGGAAACGACUGCUAAUACCGGAUGAUGACGAAAGUACCAAAGAUUUAUCGCCAAGGGAUGAGCCCGCGUAGGAUUAGCUAGUUGGUGAGGUAAGGCUCACCAAGGCAACGAUCCUUAGCUGUCUGAGAGGAUGAUCAGCCACACGUGGGACUGAGACACGGCCCACGACGUCCGUACGGGGGCGAGCGAGUAGGGAAUAGUUAGGAACGAAGUAGGGCGCAACGCCGUGAUCCAGCAAUGCCGCGUGAGGUGAGUAGAACGGUCCGUUUAGGGUUAGGUUAAAGC